AUUUUCAAAAAAUAUAUGUAGAUAUCUCUAUAUAUGUUAUAUAUACAUUUUUAAAUUUUUAAUUGGGUAGGGUAUAUAAAAUGGUCUUUCUAAAAUUUCACAUUUAGGAAUCUAUGAUAACAACAGUUUUCUUCAUGCUUCCAUAAAAAAAAAAACGAUUGGGAACUAAGGCUAGAACUCCUUGCAUUUUCCAUCAGAUGGUACUGAUUCACUAUACUGUAUAAAAGAAGAGGAAUUUUUUCAGAUUUAAAAACUCAGGAGCUAUAUGCUGGAAAAUACAUAUAGUAUACUUCACUUAUUUAAAUUAAAGGAGUGUUUCAUUUAUAAAUGAAAUCUUACCUAAUAAAGGCUUUCUUCUUAUAUUUUGUUUCAGGCUCAGGAGAUAUGGACAGUAUUUCCAAGAAUUCUCCCAAUAAUAUGAGCCUGAGUAAUCAACCGGGCACUCCAAGGGAUGAUGGCGAAAUGGGGGGAAAUUUCUUAAAUCCUUUUCAGAGUGAGAGUUACUCCCCUAGCAUGACAAUGAGCGUGUGAUCCAUUACCAAGUCUCCUCAUGAAAACCACAGUGAGUCAGCCCUUCACAGAACUACUACGGAAGAAAAUUAUUCAUCACAGUGUACAGUUAAACAAAGGAAUCUCAGUCACACCAAACCAACCUUUUUAUUUCCUGCUCUCUCCCCUCUUUUGUGAAGAAAGCGGGUCCAAACGUGAUUCAAACAACUGUACGGAGUGGCAUAUUAGAAUUGCCCU
rnacentral:sRNA from 1 species